AGGUGUGACUCUUCAGUCAGCCACAGUGUCGUCAUUGACACAGGUGGGACAGCGAUGGAUGUGUCCAAGUCAUCUGGUAUUGAAAGAGCUGAGGACGUGGUCUACUCUGGAGUCAAGGUCAAAUCACCCAGAGGUGAGACGACCUCGAGCAAUGACGAACACAGGAUGCCAUCGAAUGCAGACGUGACAUACGCAGAAGUGACGGUUUUGGGUCGGAAGCCAAAAUGAGAGCAAAAAAUAAGAAAUCACUUUUAAAGCUGCUGUAUGUAAGUUACAUUUAUUAUAGUCUUGGUAUCAUUCCACAUUUUCUAAUAUGGAUGAAUGGACCUGUAGUCUUAGUGCCAGCUCAACGACAGCCAUUCUCACCGCUCUGUGAGGUCACGAUUUUCACCAUUUUAGCAUCGAUCAAUUAAUCAAUCAAUGAAUUAUCAAUUUAAUAACUGGCACGAGACAAACUACAGCUGAGGCUGAUGAGAGUAUAACCUAAACUACAAUGACCCUUCACUUCGCUUCACUAGAUUUCUUGUAAAUCAGUGGCGUAGUUUUUGCUAAAUCCCUUUGCAUUAGAAAACAUAACCUUUUUGGAGAAGGUAACAACACUUUGUCCUGAGAGGCAGCUCGAUGAAAAAUCUGUUAUAGAGGUAACUCCAAUACAUCCUCCUUUAAUGUGUGAAUUAGAUCUGAUCACCUGUAGCUGCUGCUAUAUUUCAAUAAAGAGCUUCUGCGUUCUGCGUCCAUCAACUUUCAGUCAUUUGUGCAGAAAUUGCUUCAUGUCAAUGUUUCUGUGGCUGUUUUCCUUGCUUAAGAAAGUUACAAAAUACGGUUUGCACAGUUGCUGUCAUGGUGGAUACCUGCUUGUGCUUUUUCUCAUAUGCAACUGGCCACUAUAUUUUUGAAGGUGUACAUUGGUCUUUUUCAUGUUGGACACAUCAGUGAACAUCACUGACUAUGUCUCAUCAUUUCCUGCAAUACAUGUUAUGGAUUUUAAAAUAAAGACAAGAUAAUGACAGAUAA